rnacentral:piRNA from 1 species
UGACAUCUCCUCUGAUCAUCCUUUGCAG